rnacentral:tRNA from 1 species
GAGGGAAACAGUUCAGUGGUAGAGCACAUGCUUAGCAUGCACAAGGUCCUGGGUUCUAUCCCCAGUACCUUCA